GAUGAACGCUGGCGGCGUGCCUAACACAUGCAAGUCGAACGGAGUCCAGCCUUUAAGACCUUCGGGUCAAAGAGGGGAAGACUGAGUGGCGGACGGGUGAGUAACACGUGGGCAACCUGGCUCAUAGAGGGGGAUAACAGAGAGAAAUUUCUGCUAAUACCGCAUAAGCACACACUGCCGCAUGGCAGAGGGUGAAAAGAGAAUCGCUAUGAGAUGGACCCGCGUCUGAUUAGCCCGUUGGCAGGGUAAGAGCCUACCAAAGCGACGAUCAGUAGCCGAUCUGAGAGGAUGAACGGCCACAUUGGGACUGAGACACGGCCCAAAAUCCUACGGGAGGCAGCAGUGGGGGAUAUUGCACAAUGGGGGGAACCCUGAUGCAGCGACGCCGCGUGAGUGAAGAAGUAUUUCGGUAUGUAAAGCUCUAUCAGCAGGGAAGAUAAUGACAGUACCUGAAGAAGAAGCCCCGGCUAACUACGUG
rnacentral:rRNA from 1 species